rnacentral:sRNA from 1 species
UCACUAGGAAUAAUUCCGUGUCGCUUGC